GAACUCUUGAGAAGUGUGGACCAAGUGUCUGUUUCCAUAGGGAAUUAUCUACAUCAAGACUCCUGAGAAAGAACUUGCUCUAAAGAAAAAGAAUACAGAUUAACAAGAUGUCUCCCUGGACUCACGUCUGAGUCACAAGAUUAGGGACUGCAAUCAAGAGUGGAUAAAAUCUUGAAGAAUUGGCUCACUAAAGCUUCUGUCAGACAUUGACAGCUCAAUGGGGCAUUGCUUUGCAGCCCCUGUAAUGGUAAUUGUAUGAAAGCAUUUGCACCACCCCAGGGUGACUGUGAGAACCUCGACACGUUAAGAAAUGAAUUUAACAGACUGAGCAGCAAGCUGUGGCAGUCUGGGUCUGGAAGAAGAAGAAGAAGCUGUAGAAGAUACCUUCCUUCAGUAGCUUCUCCACAGCCAUGGUGGAAAUGGCAUAAACAGGAAUGCGUGUGCUGCCUGCUACCUGGCCUCCUCCUCUGCUCUACCAAUAAGAGCUUUUCCACUCUCCUGGAUAACCAUUGCAUGAGUCUGAACAUGGUCAGAUCAAGUGCUCAGUUGGUUCUUCCUCCCUGUGUCCCCCAAACCAUCCAGGAGCAGGGGCUUGAAAGAGUUACAACACUUACACUACUUCAACAGCUGUUUUAGGUGAGUUUUGACUGUGGACUUUUAAUUGCAUUCAUUUAUUCGUUCAUAUAGAAUAACCCAUCUUAG
ensembl:lincRNA